CCGAGCGGGCGUCCGUGAGAGCCGUCCCGGCAGCGCGACGGCUGCGAACCCCCUCCCCGCCCUGUCCCGGUGCCAGCGCUCCAGCCCGCCCUUGCGUAUCCUCCUUUAGGGUCCUAAAAUCACCUUUCGCGCGUGCCCUGGAUUUAAUCUCCCUCCGUCCCACACGAUGCCCGCAGCGGCGUGCCCUACAUAACAUGGGCAGGGAGAGGGACUUCACUGCAGUGUUGGCAUGGGCGGGCUGCUGGGGGAAGGGAGGAGAGGCCGCCUUUCCAAAUUGUCAUGAUCACAAGAAAUUCUUGUGAUUCUCCAAGCGGCUCCCUUGCUUUAGCAGCAAGGAUGCCGUGCUAGGAUUUAAGCUGCUGAACACAAGAAGGGAGCAAAUAUUGCCAAUUUCGUUCCCGAGAGCUCAGGUGGAUACUGAGGAGCCUCUCCCACAAAUGAAUAAAUUCGCAGAAAUGUCAUGCUGCAGCCACAGGCUUCUCCUGUCAGCAGCGGCUGCUCUUCCCUCGGCAGGAUGGGCUGCAGCGAAGCUACGGGAAAGGGAGGGAUCGGCCCUUCUGCAUCCAACACAGCCGCGAGAGCAGAGGCAUUCCUAUCCGUGCCAGCAGAAAUAAAAGACAUCUUCGUCUCAGUCACCCAAGACCAUUCACAUUGCCAGCGUAGCCAUUACUUGGAAAUUUCCGUUCCUCCGCACAUGAGAUGUCUUCUGCUGCACAUCCCACAAAUCAAGCCUACUGCUCAAAGUCUCUGUGGAGGCUCCAGGCCCACCCACAGGGUUUGAUUCUUGCACCAAACCCAGCUUGAACCUGGAUUUUUCCUGGCGGACCUGGGUCUCUCUGCCUUGUCUUUGUAUCUGAUGAAGUUCCUAGGAAGAUCUGAUUACUGAAAUCACCACUCCUUUUCUUCCUCUCCAAAAUACAAGUUUAUUUCAGUGAAAAAACACCAGUUUACAGCUGAGGCUCAAACCCACAAGGAAAACAGGUGUUCUUCUCCUGAUGCUUUGUCUUUCUCACAAUUUGACAAUUUUGAUUUCAAUUGUACUGGAAAAGCUACCCUCAACUCUCACCAGCAUGGCCUCCACAAUCUUUGGAAUGUAAAACUAAUGUCUCUUACAUUGUAUGUAUUCAAUUGAUGCACCUUGGAAGUGCACAUGGCUCCUUGUUCCCCCCUCACUACAAGAAUGUGUUCAGGCCUCUUCUUUGGCCAGAAGGACAUGAGUGCUUAUGUCUGCAUGAAGGCACAUCAAGGAGAAAUGUGACAAAUCUUGUCUCUUCAGGCCUCACUGGAUAUGACCUUCUGGUCACUACCAGUUUAUACAGCCUUAACAGGGCAUAUCCAUGGGACCCCUGUCAGUGUCUUCACAUCUCCAGUUUUGAUUUUAUCAAGAAUCUAGAUUAAUCUGCAUCGUGAUGGAUUCAAAAAAUAAAGAAGCUGGGUUUAUUAAUAAAUGUUUUCACAGUGACCUCUUCCCCUAAUGCAGUUUCCUCACACAGCAUCCUCUCUGGGAGGAAAGUAAGGGCACGGAUGCUUCCCAUGGCCCAAGCUGUGUGCAACUUGGUGAGUAGGGCUAAGGACAUGUUCCCUAGCAGGGUGCACACUGCCAGGCAAAAGAACUGGCCAACCCAGUUGAACAGAGCAGCCUACACAGAAGACUCUCUAGAUGAAGGUGUUUACCCGCUAACUGGAGGUUUCAAAACACAGGUUACCCAAACACCUGAAACUAUGUGUUAAUGCAGAGCACAUGGAUUCUUGGCACUAGGGGGAAAGAAAAAUAUUUUAAAUCUAGUGAACCUAAAGUUCACAAGAACUGUAUGUCUGAUGAAGAACUGCAUGUCUGAUGAAGA